GCAUAACGCGAAGAACCUUACCUACUCUUGACAUCCACGGAACUUUUCAGAGAUGAAUUGGUGCCUUCGGGAACCGUGAGACAGGUGCUGCAUGGCUGUCGUCAGCUCGUGUUGUGAAAUGUUGGGUUAAGUCCCGCAACGAGCGCAACCCUUAUCCUUUGUUGCCAGCGGUUAGGCCGGGAACUCAAAGGAGACUGCCAGUGAUAAACUGGAGGAAGGUGGGGAUGACGUCAAGUCAUCAUGGCCCUUACGAGUAGGGCUACACACGUGCUACAAUGGCGCAUACAAAGAGAAGCGACCUCGCGAGAGCAAGCGGACCUCAUAAAGUGCGUCGUAGUCCGGAUUGGAGUCUGCAACUCGACUCCAUGAAGUCGGAAUCGCUAGUAAUCGUAGAUCAGAAUGCUACGGUGAAUACGUUCCCGGGUCUUGUACACACCG
rnacentral:rRNA from 1 species